GGUAGCCUAGUGGUUAGAGUGUAGGGGCGGCAGGUAGCCUAGUGGUUAGAGUGUAGAGGAGGCAGGGUAGCCUAGUGGGUAGAGUGUAGAGGCGGCAGGGUAGCCUAGUGGUUAGAGUGUAGAGGCGGCAGGGUAGCCUAGUGGGUAGAGUGUAGAGGAGGCAGGGUAGCCUAGUGGUUAGAGUGUAGAGGAGGCAGGGUAGCCUAGUGGGUAGAGUGUAGAGGAGGCAGGUAGCCCAGUGGUUAGAGUGUAGAGGUGGCAGGGUAGCCUAGUGGGUAGAGUGUAGAGGAGGCAGGGUAGCCUAGUGGUUAGAGUGUAGAGGAGGCAGGUAGCCUAGUGGUUAGAGUGUAGAGGAGGCAGGGUAGCCUAGUGGGUAGAGUGUAGAGGAGGCAGGUAGCCCAGUGGUUAGAGUGUAGAGGUGGCAGGGUAGCCUAGUGGGUAGAGUGUAGAGGAGGCAGGUAGCCUAGUGGUUAGAGUGUAGAGGAGGUAGGGUAGCCUAGUGGUUAGGGUGUAGAGGCGGCAGGGUAGCCUAGUGGUUAGAGUGUAGAGGAGGCAGGUAGCCUAGUGGUUAGAGUGUAGAGGUGGCAGGGUAGCCUAGUGGUUAGAGUGCAGAGGUGGCAGGGUAGCCUAGUGGUUAGAGUGUAGAGGAGGUAGGGUAGCCUAGUGGUUAGAGUGUAGAGGAGGCAGGUAGCCUAGUGGUUAGAGUGUAGAGGAGGCAGGUAGCCUAGUGGUUAGAGUGUAGAGGAGGCAGGGUAACCUAGUGGUUAGAGUGUAGAGGAGGCAGGUAGCCUAGUGGUUAGAGUGUAGAGGAGGCAGGGUAACCUAGUGGUUAGAGUGUAGAGGAGGCAGGGUAGCCUAGUGGUUAGAGUGUAGAGGCGGCAGGGUAACCUAGUGGUUAGAGUGUAGAGGAGGCAGGGUAGCCUAGUGGUUAGAGUGUAGAGGAGGCAGGGUAGCCUAGUGGUUAGAGUGUAGAGGAGGUAGGGUAGCCUAGUGGUUAGAGUGUAGAGGAGGCAGGUAACCUAGUGGUUAGAGUGUAGAGGAGGCAGGUAGCCUAGUGGUUAGAGUGUAG
ensembl:lncRNA